CUGUGCAAUUUUAUAUUUAAGUCGUCAGUAAUUUAAAUAAAUCAAGGUGCAAUCUGCUACAGAGGACUAGAAGCGAAGAUGGAAGGGAAUCUGUCCGGCUCCGCCGAUGAUAUGACGAAUGACGGAAUUGAUUACACUCAGCGAAAUUCACAUAGGAUUUUCAUAACAUGGAUCGUAUGAAUCAGAUUGCAGUUGCUGUGCAUUUAGUCGUUCCAGUCGUUCCACUCAGGAUUGGACAAAAUUCACGAAAGUAUCGAUUAUUGAAUAUCAAUAUCAAAUCCGCCGCUUUAUCGAUACCGUCGAUAUAUCGCU